CCUCUCUCGGAUUUACUCCCAAAAGUUCAGUACCGUUUCACACUUAUUCAGAAACAAAACAAAAAAAUAAAAUGAAAUCCAAAAUAAAAGAAACCCUCAAAACUCCCCUAUUUCUAGAACUUACGACAUAUUAGAGGAAGAGAGGGACUCAACUUCAUCGAAUCUAAAGAGAAUGAUUAUGAAUCAACUAAGAGAGGUUUUCUUAGGGUUAAUUGGAUCUGGAGAGCGGGAUUCCCAAUUAACUGCAAUUGGUUUUUUAGGGUUUGAAGUUCGUAAGUCGGAAAUCGCAACUCACCGACAUAGAGGUUGUUUUAGGGUUCAUCAAAUUUCUUGCAAAUUAACCGAAUUUAUGGAUUUGUGGAUCUCUCCGGUUAUAAUACGAGAGGAUUGAUGAGCUAGUGAAUGGUCCAAAUUCCCAUCUCACAGACUCAGUUGUGUUGGAUAGAUGGGAAAGGAGGCUUGAGGACAUCUUUGAUGGAUACCCUCAUGACAAAAUUGAUGUUACCUUGGCUGACACUGUCCAACAAUAUCCCCUUUAAAUCAAGGUACGUUUCACCUAGCUACUUCAGUUAUCUCCUUAUACUUCCUGUUAGUUUUGCUACACUAACUUACAUUUCUUGACAAAUAGUUGUUCAAAGAUUUGAUGAAAGGAAUGAGAAUGAAUACGUGGAAAACUCGUUAUGAGAACUACGAUGAGCCUGAACUAUAUUGCUACUAGCAGGAACUGGUCGCUUAAUGACUCUUCCGCUAUAAGUUCCACAAAAAGUAUUUAUAAAGUCGCUCUUUCCUUGGGUAGCGCAUUCCAACUAACAUGAGAAUAGAUAUAGCAGAAGAGUAAGCUUUGUGAUUUGGAUAGUUAUUGUGCUUUUUCUUGUUCUAGAGUUUGAUCAAAAAUAUAUUGUGUGUUGAUGCCGAAAAUUUUUAUGGAAUUUAACACUCUAGUCUUUUUUAGACCUAGUUCCAGGAAUCAAUUUGGAAAUGAGAAGAAUAAAAAUGAAAGAAAAACGUCAUUGGAGAAGUAAAGUUUAAUGUUAGUUUAAUUUGGAGCUUUGCUUUGUUUUUAACUUGAUUUUCUAUUUUUUCACAUCAGUUAUAUUCGGAGCUAAUACAUUACCUAGAAUUGGAGUUACAUGCUUGAUUUUCUAGACGAUUGAGGUAAUGAACUGCAUUUACAUAUGAUGGAAAAUUGCUACGGAAGGUUGUUCUUCCUGGUUGGUUGUUAUAAUUGUAAUAAGAUAAACUCUUUAGGGCUAGCUGCAAUACCUCGUAUUUUUAUAAUAUUUAUAAGUAUAUUUUAUUAUAUUUAGAAAGAAUUUUACGAUUAAUUAGCAUUUAAUUAAUAUUUAAAUGUAUUUUAUUUAAAUGUAUUUUAAUUAAUUAGAAUAUUUAUUAUUUUAAUUAAUUACGAAACGAAUUUAAUUCUUGAGUAGGGAAAUUAAAUGGGUUGCAAAUGAUUUUUAAAGGCUUCGGGUUUUAAAUAAAAAGUCCAAUUCGUUUAUUAAACAAGCCCAAUCAAAAGAAUUUAAUUCUAAGCUCUUGGCUAGCCCAACCACUUAAUUCCUAGGCCCAAUCCUAUUUUCCUAAGCCUAGCCCAUUAAAAAUAAGGAGCCUAUAAAUAGGACUCCUCAUCAUUAAUUGAGCCCCUAAAAUCUCAUAAACCCUCUCUUUUUCUUUGCUUGCCCAUGACUCUUCCUCUCUCCUCUUUUGCUCGGCUCGUCAGCACGCCCGCACAACCCCGUGCUCGUGCCUUCGUGCUGCUGUUGCGUCGUGCUGCUCGGCCUCACACCCCAGCGCGCGCUGCAUUGCCUCCCUCGCUCUCUCUCGCGCGCCAGCGCCCAGCACCCCCUCUCGCUCCCUUGCUCCCUCGCGCGCCAGCGCCCACACUCCCUCUCGUCUCUCUUCUCUCGCCCGCAGCCCGCAGCGAGCCCUCGUGCCUGCGCUGCUGCUGUGCCUUGUUGUUGCUCGUGUGCUCAACGCACACCUCUCGCUCUCUCGCCCCUCCUCUCGCGCGCGCGCCCUUGCGUGCCGUGUGCCCUGUCCCGCGCGCAAGCGCUGCUGCAUCCUUUCGUCCCUGCGCUGUGUGUGUUGUUCGUGUUCGUAAUUCAAUUCCUUUUCGCCCAAUCACUCUAAUUCGUGGUUGUUCCGUGCUAUAGGCCGGAUUGGUAUAAUUCUCUUCUUCCUUACCUAUUCUAUUUCAAUUCCGUAUUUUAAAUUAUAAUAUUAGUAUUGUUUUGAGUAAUUAAAAUGCUGGGAACCGGUUAUGAAUACCGUGGUUUGAGGAUUUGCGUGUUGUGAUUCAUUAGGCUUGUUUUAAUGAUUAAAUGACGAAUUUUCAGAUUUGUUUAUGGAAUAAAGAAUUGAUUUUUAUGAUAAUAAAUUAGUUUUAUUGGGAUUUUCAAGUUAGGGUUUUAACCUAGACCUAAUGAGUCAAUUGAUUAGCAUAAUUAGGUGAUGAUUUUAAUUAUGAUAAUCAAUUAUAUUUUCAGAUUUGAAUAAAGGCUUAAAGUGUUGAUUUUUAUUGGUUUUAAAGGCGGAAAAAGUAUGUUUUCGUACAAGAGAUUGGUUUUGCAAAUUGAGACGAUUAUAUUAUUGAAAAACGAUUGAAUUCUAAAGUUUAAAUGAGGUUUUAGAUUUUAUAAAGUUGCUGGAAAUUUAAUGAACAUGAAAAUAAUUUAAGUCUCAUUAUUUUGAUGAUAGGAGGUGAUUUCUAGUUGAGUGCUCGUUAUUGCAAAGUGGCCCCUACGCUUAGGUAUUCAAGAAUAAAAUAGCAGGUUGGUAGAUCGGAAUCAUGUGGCUUGGGAUGAUCGAGAGAGUUGCAUGUUUUUGUAUUUUGAAUUAUUUAAUUAUACUUUAAUUAUGUUUUCGUAUUUAAACUAUUUAUACUUUGGUUUUUGGGCCAUUAUGGUUCCAAAUUGUAGGAGGCCUCAAUAUUGCAUUAAUUAUGUUUUUUGAAAGUUAGUUGACAUUAAUUUCCGCUGCGUAAUUCUGGUAAUAGCCUUAACCGUUAUCACGGUGGCGGUAAUGCUUUAGUAAUUCCUUUAUUUUAAGUUGGAAAAUGAUUUUAUAAAAGCCAGGAAUUAUUAGGGUGUUACAAAGUGGUAUCAGAGCUUAAGGCUACUUUGUAGUAAGUAAUACUACAAAGUGGUAUACUAGAGCUUAGUUUCAUUCUUUCUUUGUAAUAAUCAAUACUACAAAGUGGUAAUCGGAGACUAAUGCGGAACUUUAGGAUUUUUAAAUAUUAUUUUCCUAAAGUCAAAACGUAUUAUUUUGAGUACUCAAUAUUUUAAGGGUCAAAUAUUAAUUAUUAUGGGUCGUUUGAAAUAAGUUGAAAAGUUGGAUUAUUAUUUAAUUUAAUUAGUUUUUUCGAUUUUUUUUUUUUUGAAAUUUUCGAAUUAAAUUCGAAUUUAUUUUAUUAAUUUCAGAAAUUCUUUUAUUUAAUUAUCCGAAUUAUUUUAAUUAUUUAUUUAUUUAUUUAUUCGAGUAUUUUUCGAAUUUAUAUUUUAUUAUUUUAAUUUUCGGAUUUUUCUUUUAUUAUUAUCCGAAAUUUAAUUAUUUAAUUAUUUAAUUAAUCAAUAAUUCUUAUUAAUUUUCGAUUUUAAUUUAAAUAAUUUCAACUAAGUUAGGAGUUAUUUCUUAAUUAAUUUCGAAAAUUAAUAUUAUUUUCAAGUGAGAAAUGGAUAGACUAAGAAGGGCAUAUUAGUUUAAGUAUGCAUUUUAUGUGAUUAUGUGAAUUAUUAAUUGCCAUGUAUAUGUUCUAACCGUGUUUUAUCUUGCUUUAUGUGAUUAAUUGCAUCAUAUUUCAUGUUGAGCAUAUAUUUGUGCAUGGAAAAUUGUAUGGCUCCACGAACUAUUUAUUGUAUCCUUUUGGGGUUGGAAUUUCUAUGGAAACGCGUUAGUAAGACUUUUUAGUUGUGAAU